AGUGAACGCUGGCGGUAGGCCUAACACAUGCAAGUCGAACGGCAGCACAGUAAGAGCUUGCUCUUACGGGUGGCGAGUGGCGGACGGGUGAGGAAUACAUCGGAAUCUACUUUUUCGUGGGGGAUAACGUAGGGAAACUUACGCUAAUACCGCAUACGACCUACGGGUGAAGGCAGGGGAUCUUCGGACCUUGCGCGAUUGAAUGAGCCGAUGUCGGAUUAGCUAGUUGGCGGGGUAAAGGCCCACCAAGGCGACGAUCCGUAGCUGGUCUGAGAGGAUGAUCAGCCACACUGGAACUGAGACACGGUCCAGACUCCUACGGGAGGCAGCAGUGGGGAAUAUUGGACAAUGGGCGCAAGCCUGAUCCAGCCAUACCGCGUGGGUGAAGAAGGCCUUCGGGUUGUAAAGCCCUUUUGUUGGGAAAGAAAAGCAGCAGGUUAAUACCCCGCUGUUCUGGCGGUACCCAAAGAAUAAGCACCGGCUAACUUCGUG
rnacentral:rRNA from 1 species